AUUGAACGCUGGCGGCAAGCCUAACACAUGCAAGUCGAACGAGUGGCGGACGGGUGAGUAAUGUCUGGGAAACUGCCUGAUGGAGGGGGAUAACUACUGGAAACGGUAGCUCAUACCGCAUACCAUCGGAUGUGCCCCGAUGGGAUUAGCUAGUAGGUGGGGUAAAGGCUCACCUAGGCGACGAUCCCUAGCUGGUCUGAGAGGAUGACCAGCCACACUGGAACUUGGACACGGUCCAGACUCCUACGGGAGGUAGCAGUGGGGAAUAUUGUACAAUGGGCGCAAGCCUGAUGCAGCCAUGCCGCGUGUAUGAAUAAGGCCUUCGGGUUGUAAAGUACUUUCAGCGGGGAGGCGUUACUCGCAGAAGAAGCACCGGCUAACUCCGUGCUAGCAGCCGCGGUAAUUC
rnacentral:rRNA from 1 species